GGGUUGUGAGGUUAAGCGACUAAGCGUACACGGUGGAUGCCCUGGCAGUCAGAGGCGAUGAAGGACGUGCUAAUCUGCGAUAAGCGUCGGUAAGGUGAUAUGAACCGUUAUAACCGGCGAUUUCCGAAUGGGGAAACCCAGUGUGAUUCGUCACACUAUCAUUAACUGAAUCCAUAGGUUAAUGAGGCGAACCGGGGGAACUGAAACAUCUAAGUACCCCGAGGAAAAGAAAUCAACCGAGAUUCCCCCAGUAGCGGCGAGCGAACGGGGAGCAGCCCAGAGCCUGAAUCAGUGUGUGUGUUAGUGGAAGCGUCUGGAAAGGCGCGCGAUACAGGGUGACAGCCCCGUACACAAAAAUGCACAUGCUGUGAGCUCGAUGAGUAGGGCGGGACACGUGGUAUCCUGUCUGAAUAUGGGGGGACCAUCCUCCAAGGCUAAAUACUCCUGACUGACCGAUAGUGAACCAGUACCGUGAGGGAAAGGCGAAAAGAACCCCGGCGAGGGGAGUGAAAAAGAACCUGAAACCGUGUACGUACAAGCAGUGGGAGCACAGAGCAAUCUGUGUGACUGCGUACCUUUUGUAUAAUGGGUCAGCGACUUAUAUUCUGUAGCAAGGUUAACCGAAUAGGGGAGCCGAAGGGAAACCGAGUCUUAACUGGGCGUUAAGUUGCAGGGUAUAGACCCGAAACCCGGUGAUCUAGCCAUGGGCAGGUUGAAGGUUGGGUAACACUAACUGGAGGACCGAACCGACUAAUGUUGAAAAAUUAGCGGAUGACUUGUGGCUGGGGGUGAAAGGCCAAUCAAACCGGGAGAUAGCUGGUUCUCCCCGAAAGCUAUUUAGGUAGCGCCUCGUGAAUUCAUCUCCGGGGGUAGAGCACUGUUUCGGCAAGGGGGUCAUCCCGACUUACCAACCCGAUGCAAACUGCGAAUACCGGAGAAUGUUAUCACGGGAGACACACGGCGGGUGCUAACGUCCGUCGUGAAGAGGGAAACAACCCAGACCGCCAGCUAAGGUCCCAAAGUCAUGGUUAAGUGGGAAACGAUGUGGGAAGGCCCAGACAGCCAGGAUGUUGGCUUAGAAGCAGCCAUCAUUUAAAGAAAGCGUAAUAGCUCACUGGUCGAGUCGGCCUGCGCGGAAGAUGUAACGGGGCUAAACCAUGCACCGAAGCUGCGGCAGCGACGCUUAUGCGUUGUUGGGUAGGGGAGCGUUCUGUAAGCCUGCGAAGGUGUGCUGUGAGGCAUGCUGGAGGUAUCAGAAGUGCGAAUGCUGACAUAAGUAACGAUAAAGCGGGUGAAAAGCCCGCUCGCCGGAAGACCAAGGGUUCCUGUCCAACGUUAAUCGGGGCAGGGUGAGUCGACCCCUAAGGCGAGGCCGAAAGGCGUAGUCGAUGGGAAACAGGUUAAUAUUCCUGUACUUGGUGUUACUGCGAAGGGGGGACGGAGAAGGCUAUGUUGGCCGGGCGACGGUUGUCCCGGUUUAAGCGUGUAGGCUGGUUUUCCAGGCAAAUCCGGAAAAUCAAGGCUGAGGCGUGAUGACGAGGCACUACGGUGCUGAAGCAACAAAUGCCCUGCUUCCAGGAAAAGCCUCUAAGCAUCAGGUAACAUCAAAUCGUACCCCAAACCGACACAGGUGGUCAGGUAGAGAAUACCAAGGCGCUUGAGAGAACUCGGGUGAAGGAACUAGGCAAAAUGGUGCCGUAACUUCGGGAGAAGGCACGCUGAUAUGUAGGUGAAGUCCCUCGCGGAUGGAGCUGAAAUCAGUCGAAGAUACCAGCUGGCUGCAACUGUUUAUUAAAAACACAGCACUGUGCAAACACGAAAGUGGACGUAUACGGUGUGACGCCUGCCCGGUGCCGGAAGGUUAAUUGAUGGGGUCAGCGCAAGCGAAGCUCUUGAUCGAAGCCCCGGUAAACGGCGGCCGUAACUAUAACGGUCCUAAGGUAGCGAAAUUCCUUGUCGGGUAAGUUCCGACCUGCACGAAUGGCGUAAUGAUGGCCAGGCUGUCUCCACCCGAGACUCAGUGAAAUUGAACUCGCUGUGAAGAUGCAGUGUACCCGCGGCAAGACGGAAAGACCCCGUGAACCUUUACUAUAGCUUGACACUGAACAUUGAGCCUUGAUGUGUAGGAUAGGUGGGAGGCUUUGAAGUGUGGACGCCAGUCUGCAUGGAGCCGACCUUGAAAUACCACCCUUUAAUGUUUGAUGUUCUAACGUUGACCCGUAAUCCGGGUUGCGGACAGUGUCUGGUGGGUAGUUUGACUGGGGCGGUCUCCUCCUAAAGAGUAACGGAGGAGCACGAAGGUUGGCUAAUCCUGGUCGGACAUCAGGAGGUUAGUGCAAUGGCAUAAGCCAGCUUGACUGCGAGCGUGACGGCGCGAGCAGGUGCGAAAGCAGGUCAUAGUGAUCCGGUGGUUCUGAAUGGAAGGGCCAUCGCUCAACGGAUAAAAGGUACUCCGGGGAUAACAGGCUGAUACCGCCCAAGAGUUCAUAUCGACGGCGGUGUUUGGCACCUCGAUGUCGGCUCAUCACAUCCUGGGGCUGAAGUAGGUCCCAAGGGUAUGGCUGUUCGCCAUUUAAAGUGGUACGCGAGCUGGGUUUAGAACGUCGUGAGACAGUUCGGUCCCUAUCUGCCGUGGGCGCUGGAGAACUGAGGGGGGCUGCUCCUAGUACGAGAGGACCGGAGUGGACGCAUCACUGGUGUUCGGGUUGUCAUGCCAAUGGCACUGCCCGGUAGCUAAAUGCGGAAGAGAUAAGUGCUGAAAGCAUCUAAGCACGAAACUUGCCCCGAGAUGAGUUCUCCCUGAC
rnacentral:rRNA from 1 species